GAUAAAUCAACCUCUGAGUGCUCUCCUGUCAACUCCUGUUCUCCACCAGAACGAGACGUGCAAGCGGAGUCAACAGGAGAGCGUCAGCUGUCGAUUUACUGCAGUGAAGACACCGCGGAAAUUGGGAGCAGAAGUGGAAGUUGCUGGGCUACAGUACAUCAACCAAGCUUGGAAGGAGGGAUGACAGGCUGUAAGAACGUUUUCCUGCUGAAUGCUUCUGACUCAACCACCCAGUAUCCCCAGAACAUGAAAAGAAAUGAGAAACGUGAAUAAGCAUCAGCAACAUGAAUAAGACAGGACAAUGCAAUUAGAGUUGAAAUGUGUGACCAUAAUCUUAUGUUAUACAUUGUAGUCCUAGCUCAAAGUAUCUGUUCACCAGUAGUAUGUGUGGUGUCUUCUCGGGAAUACAAGGAAGCCUAAUUCAUCAAUUUCUACGUAAUUUAAACUUCUAAAAAUGAAGCUUCUGUUCAUUAUAUUUGUUGAUGCAUUGUUUUCUCCCUAAUCUGCAGACGGAUCUGCCAGUCAUUAAUGGAGUGAAAUUAAUGAGAUAGUCACCAGUUUCUUUGCUGUUAGUCUAAUGGAAAAGGUCAAGAAUCUUGUCAGUUUCAUGAUGGGCUACUGCACUUUAAGGUUGCUCUGAGGAGCAGAGCCAGAUGCUGAAUUACAGGGGAUGAGGAUGCAGAAAAUGGAAUGGGAAUGAGGAACGGAGAUUGUUCACUCCUCACAGCAGCCAUGAGUAGAGGGGAAGGGCUAUAGUAUUGGAAUCCCAUCUCUUCACAGCAGUGGGGAGUACCUGGGGGAAGAGAAGCAUGAAGACCUGUACCUAUUUCAGUAGCCAGGAGGCUCUGGGAAUAGAGAAAAGACACAACAGUUGUGGGGGGACAGGGAGGAAGAUGGAGCUUUAGGUUUAUCAGAGACCCACUAGACAAAGAGUGUUAUGAAGGAUGGCCCCUCAGGUGGAAAUCUCAUUACCCUUCCCAUUCCCGUCAUCUGUGGAUAGUAAGGGAUUCUGGAUUUCUUGCCAUGACGUUGCUUCGAAUGUCUUGAGCUGGUAGUUGUCGUAUAUGUUCUGAUUAUUGUUUAUGGUUUAAUUAUAUAUUGCCAUCUCUGGCCAAUGGGAUAUUGAUACAGUUAAUGUUUUAGUCAUCUCAUUUGUUUCAAAAGAAUGUCUUUAUUGGAUUUUCUUCCAGUACACCUGUGUAUGUUUUCUCUAUUUUAUGGACUUUUCAGUUUACCAGAAGUGUUACUACUUUCCAUUUUGCUUUGCCAGCAAUGUCCAGACAAUCUUUAAAGUGGUCUUUUCUGUAUCUUACAUUACCGACAAAUUUUUAUUGCCAGGGAUUAGCACUGCAUUAUAUGUUAGUCUGCUGUUGAUAAUGAGCCAGUUGCAGCCUUGAUCUGGAAUUCAAACGGAAAAAGUAGGUGAUGGACUAAAGUGUCGUAUUUCUGCCAGAGCCAUGUGGAAAUGAUUUAGGUUGUAAUGCUUCAAAUAAAAUACUUGUUGAACUUUAAA